CUGGGCCACGAGUGGGAGUCACGAUUAUUGGGCCUAAGGCGUCCGUAGCCUGUUUUGCAAAUCUUUUGUGAAAUUGCCGAGCUUAACUCGGCAGCGUGCAGAAGAGACUACAAGACUUGGAACCAGAAGGAGUCAGAAGGAUGCUGGGGGGAGCGGUAAAAUGCUAUAAUCCCCGGUAGACUACCUGUGGCGAAGGCGUCUGACUAGGAUGGAUUCGACGGUGAGGGACGAAAGCUAGGGGAGCGAUCCGGAUUAGAUACCCGAGUAGUCC
rnacentral:rRNA from 1 species